UCUGAAACCUGACGAGGAUGAGAACCUCCGGGGGCAAGAGGUUCGACCCGAGCGAAGCGAGAGAACGUUGCGUCAGCAACGGCCCGCAGUGGCAAGUCAUCCUCUGUCACCGGCAG
rnacentral:sRNA from 2 species